UGGGGGAAUUUUCCGCAAUGGGCGAAAGCCUGACGGAGCAAUGCCGCGUGGAGGUGGAAGGCCUACGGGUCGUCAACUUCUUUUCUCGGAGAAGAAACAAUGACGGUAUCUGAGGAAUAAGCAUCGGCUAACUCUGUGCCAG
rnacentral:rRNA from 1 species